rnacentral:lncRNA from 1 species
UACAAUUCCUCUUUCUCGGUUCUCGCUCUCUAGAAAGCGAAACAGAGCGGAAAAGGCAGAUGUGAGGAAGAAGAUGAGCUUCGAGAAGGCACAAAACCCAGCUUUGGGCUUUAACUUAGAAACAUGGAAUUUCUAUCAACUGGCUAAUUCAAGUGAGUAGUAGUUCACUGGGAGCGUAGCCAAAAUGAUUAACUUUUUCUUUGCAUCCCUCCGUACAAAAGCGGUGACCAUAUCCAAAACAGAAGUGGCAGGUUUGAGCUGGUGAGGGAAGUUGAAGGCCAAGUUAUCGACCUUAUGCUCAUAGAUUUUGCCAUUUCGGUCGAGUUUAUAGCGAGAAGUACCCUGAAACUCUCCCUUUGCCUCCCAUGGGACUCUAGGUACACCUUUAAGAUUCCACCUGAUGAGAAUCAUGUUCUCUGAUGGUUGCCAAACCCUGAAGAUCUCAAGUGAGAUAUCCCUGAAGAGAAUCUUGCCAUGAAAUCUAAGUGCCCAGAAGAUCAAUUUGUAGUUGUCAAUCCCAGAGAACGUGUUCAUUGGAUCCACUAAUGUUAUAUCAUCCCUGAAAGAGGAAACACAAAUGCUUUCAUUGACAGGUUUAAGGAAGGAAUCACCUAAAGGAGAAAGAGGAAAACACACCUGUAAAUGUCGUAAUUGAGAUCUUUGGUGAAGAGGAGAGGCAAAUCUUCGCGAAGGGUACGUACAGCUAAACCGAGAUUGAUGUAGAAGUCAUCUUUGCUGCCGUGCUGGUACUUAUCCUGCGCACUUGGUUUGGUCUUAACCUGCGCACCUCGAACAGGAGGAGGAGCCUGGACGCUAAAGAGAGAAAGUGGAGAGAGACUAUCUUCUUCAAACUCGUAGCUAUUGGACGAUGAUGAUGAUGAUGAUAAAGCUUGGUUGGAAAUGGGUUUCUCUUUGAGUGAUUUUCCGGUCGGAAGAAGGAAAGAAGGAGAGAGAUUGGGGAGAAGAAACGCCAUAGCUGCUGGAUUUUAGAGCUUCUCUUGUUCUUUUGUUGUUGUUUUGUCUUAAUUUUUCAAGGCGACUUAAGAGAAUCAGAGGGAGAGGAUGACGAGUUGAGAAGAGCGAAGAUGCACGAAGAAGCUUUGUUGGAAGAUAAACAGCUGCUC